rnacentral:rRNA from 1 species
UGGGGAAUAUUGCACAAUGGGGGAAACCCUGAUGCAGCGACGCCGCGUGAACGAAGAAGGUAUUCGUAUCGUAAAGUUCUGUCCUAUGGGAAGAUAAUGACAGUACCAUAGAAGAAAGCUCCGGCUAAAUACGUGCCAGCAGCCGCGGUAAUACGUAUGGAGCGAGCGUUGUCCGGAAUUAUUGGGCGUAAAGGGUACGCAGGCGGGUUAAUAAGUCGAAUGUUAAAGAUCGGGGCUCAACCCCGCAAAGCAUUGGAAACUGAUAAACUUGAGUAGUGGAGAGGAAAGUGGAAUUCCUAGUGUAGUGGUGAAAUACGUAGAUAUUAGGAGGAAUACCAGUAGCGAAGGCGACUUUCUGGACACAAACUGACGCUGAGGUACGAAAGCGUGGGGAGCAAACAGG